rnacentral:tRNA from 1 species
GCGGAUGUGGCGGAAUUGGCAGACGCACCAGAUUUAGGUUCUGGCGGGAGACCGUGGGGGUUCAAGUCCCUUCAUCCGCA